CAGGGACACUGAGGAGAAGACUAUCGCACUCUUUGAGUAACAUAACAGUUGAUGAUGGCUUACACAAGGCUUGUAGCAGUGGGAUUAAUGGAUUUAAAAAAAUGUGUUAUAUAUACACAAUGGAAUACUAUUCAGCCUUAAAAAGGAAAUCCUGUCCUAUGGAACAACAUGAAAGAACCUGGAGGACAUUAUGCUAAGUGAAAUAAACCAGGCACAGAUGGACAAAUACUGCAUGAUGUCUCUCAUACACUGAGUGUAAAAAAGGUUGUUCGUUUCACAUAUUGACUGAAUCAACAAAGAAAUGAAGAUAGACCAACAUGGAAUUAUGCACAUGUUGGAGACCAUGCAAACUGAGAAAGAAGAAUUAAAUCAGUCAAACACUUCAUGCUUAGUGUAAAAUACUUGUGCUUUCAUUUCUGAUUGACAAACUGUCUUAUAUAUAUUAACAUAUUCAAUUUACUAACCAGCAAGUCUUAUGGCCAAGACUGCAGCCUUUUCCUGUUAAGUUGUUGACAAUGUAUAUUCUAACCCAUAGUGUUGAUAUUACAUCUUAAAACUCAGAGGACAAAUGUAUAACUCUAACUUCCGGUUUGUACAGAACUUAGAAAUAAGUGCUGAUCAAAGAAUCAAAGUGUGACUCCAAAUCCCAGUGAAAGCCACGUAAGUCAGGA
rnacentral:lncRNA from 10 species